GCUUCCAGUCUGAGCAACAAGCGCAAAAAAUCCAGCAGCUGGAAGCAGAACUAAAAACAGCCAGAGACUUCCUGAAGGAGAGCCAGAAUUACGCUGAAGAGAUGAAAAAGAAGACUUUAUCUCAGGAAAUAGAAUUGAAAGAGAAACAAGCUGAGAUUACCCAUCUGCAGCUGUCUGCAGCUGAGUUGGCUUCUUUAAAAAAGGAAAUGAUUAACAUCAAGGCUCAGCAAAAGACACUGAAAGAGCAACUUAAUAUCACACUUCACGAAAAUGAGCAACUGAGCAAGCUAGACAGUCUGAAGGCUUUAGAUCAACAGAAGAAGCAAAAUGGA